UUAAUGGCAAAAAAUUGUAUUAAGAGACAGGAUAGUCAAAAUUGGAUAGCACAAAAGAUGAACCCCACUGUGUAACAAGACAAUGGUCAAAAAGGUCCCCAUGUUUCAAGUAAACGAUAUGCAUGCAAUGCACUGCUGUCUAAGAUAACAAGUUGUAUUGUCCUACAACUUGUUGCUCAAAGUACUAACCAAAUGAGAACUUGUUAAUAAAUAGGUUUGCAAAGUGAAGAGAAUGAGUAAGGUUGAAAAGACGAUGAAAAAAUCAGCUUUGUUCAUUGCUUUCUCAUGGCUUUUACUGAUGGUAUUCACAGUUGUCUCUGCUAAUGCAGAAAACAUAAGUGCUCAUACACCGACUUCGAAGAACAUGGUUUAUUAUCCUCAAGGUUGUCGCUGUUGCUGGUUCAUAUGGAAGCCACAGAUCCAUUGUGGCAAAGUAUAUUGUGAAGAAGGAUGUUGUUAACCUAAGCAUCACAAGGUUGAAGAAGACCCUCUACAAGUUCUAUAUAUGUUUCUCUUCACACAGACAUAUAAAAUACUGUGCUGCUAAAUAAUGCAGGAAGCUAGAUAAAGAGGUUUACUACAUAAAAGUUUGUAUUGUUGUUGAUAACUUUAAUAUAAUCAAACUUUUGUUGUGUUAAGUCCA